CUCACCCCUUGGAAGGAGCCCACGAGCACCGCUGCCUAGCAGCACUUGUGGGCUGCUUUCCAAGGGGCAACGGCUCGGCCCAGGGAAGCAAGCCACGAUCGCAGCUGCAGCAGCAGCGAUCACGGUCCACUUCCUCUGGCCUCUCCCUCUCCUCUCGCAAGAAGGAGCACCUUCGUGCGAGAGGAGGAAGAGGCAGGGUGCUUCCCUCUCCCUAUCCCUCUACUCUUGUGGGAAGGAGCUCCUUCUCGCGAGAGGAGAGGGAGAAGCAAGCGGAAGAAGCCCACGAUUGGUGCUGCAGCAGCAGCGAUCGUGGCCUGCUUCCCUGGGCCCAAGCACCGAGCAGAGGGAGUUUUCUCCCUCCGCUUGGCACUUGGGCCUUUAGAGAAGCGUGAGGCGUGUUGCUGCUUAGCGGCACGCCUCACACUUUCCUGGGCCCAAGUGCCAAGUGGAGGGAGUUUUCUCCCUCUGGUCGGCACUUGGGCCUUUAGAGAAGCGUGAGGCGUGUUGCUGCUUAGCGGCACGCCUUGCGCUUCCCUGGGCCCAAGCGCCAGGCGAAGGGAGAAAACUUCUCCUUUUGCCCGGCUCUUGGGCCUUUAGAGAAGCGCGAGGCAUGUUGCUAAGCAGCGGCACGCCUCGCGCUUCCCUGGGUCCAAGCGCCUGCCAGAGGGAGAAAUUUCCUCCCUCCGCUAGGCGCCUGGGCCUACAAUCAGGGUUAUCCAAUUAAUCCGGGUAACCCGAGUUGUGGCCCCCCCGUUUAAAUCGGAUAACCGAGAUUCUAUUGUAUUUUAAAAUAAUCCAUAUUUAUUUAUUUGAAUGAUGAAAUAAACAAAUCCUUCCUUCCUAUAAUGAAGCUGUAAUACCCAGAGGUAUUUUUCUGAUUUUUUUCCUUCAAUUUCAAUAGGACAAGCAGUUUUACUGACCUUGCAGUGCCAUCUGAUGAUGCAAAUUUCAAAUAUAUCUUGGGACUGUAACUUACAAAGAAUUGGAUAACCAUCUCUUCCUGCACAACCUGCCGCUAACGUCCGACCAUCUUCAGAGAAGCGAACACAGAAACAUCCCAUAUCUCCGGCUCGUAGAGAAAACAGAUACUUGUUUGGUAUACGACAAACCUGCAUUUUAAAAGCAAAUUAAUUACAGUAGAGUCUCGCUUAUCCAACAUUCUGGAUUAUCCAACACAUUUUUGUAGUCAAUGUUUUCAAUACAGCGUGAUAUUUUGGUGCUAAAUUCGUACAGUAAUUACUACAUAGCAUUACUGUGUAUUGAACUACUUUUUCUUUCAAAUUUGUUGUAUAACAUGAUGUUUUGGUGCUUAAUUUAUAAAAUCAUAACCUAAUUUAAUGUUUAAUAGGCUUUUCCUUAAUCUCUCCUUAUUAUCCAACAUAUUCGCUUAUCCAACGUUCUGCCAGCCUGUUUACGUUGAAUAAGCGAGACUCUUCUGUAUUGACACAACUGUUAUAUUAACAGUGUGAUAAAUGGAACUCUUUCCAGAAUGACAGCUGCAUUGGCCUCAACCAUACAAAAUGAAGAGACAUAUGGUACUCCAAACACUUAAAUCAAUACAUUAUAAUAUAAACUUCAAUAGACUAGACACCAUCAGAUGUAGAAUGUUAUCCUAAAUUUUACACAGUAAAAUUAUAUGAUUAA